rnacentral:rRNA from 1 species
UACAGAGGGUGCGAGCGUUAAUCGGAAUUACUGGGCGUAAAGCGUGCGUAGACGGCUAUCUAAGUCGGGUGUGAAAGCCCCGGGCUCAACCUGGGAAUUGCAUUCGAGACUGAAUAGCUAGGGUACGGUAGAGGGAAGCGGAAUUUCCGGUGUAGCGGUGAAAUGCGUAGAUAUCAGGAGGAACACCGGUGGUGUAAACGGCUUUCUGGACCAUAACUGACGCUGAGGCACGAAAGCGUGGGUAGCAAACAGG